UGGCUACAAAAUAACAUAUUUUGUAGCCACUUUGAGUUACGAUAAUAACUAUGUUAAUUUACGAGAUUAUAGUAACUUCUUACUAAGUGGUUUGCUAUAACGUUACGAUAAAUAUCUUCAUGUGUUAUAGUAACCCAACUAUCGUAAAUAUGUGUACAUAUUAUCGUAAAUUAGUAUAUAAAAUUAUCGUAAAUGGAAGUGGCUACAUAAUAACUUAUUUUGUAGAUA
rfam:Sorghum bicolor cultivar BTx623 chromosome 3, whole genome shotgun sequence.